UGGGGAAUUUUGGACAAUGGGGGCGACCUUGAUCCAGCCAUCCCGCGUGUGCGAUGAAGGCUUCGGGUUGUAAAGCACUUAUUGGCAGGGAAGAAAAGGUCGCGGGUUAAUACCACGGCGCCGCUGACGGUACACUGUCAGAAUAAGCACCGGCUAACUCGUGCCAGCAGCCGCGGUAAUACGUAGGGUGCAAUCGCGAAUCGAAUGACUGGAGCGUAAAGCGUCGCGUCAGGCGGUUCGGCAAGAAGGAUGUGAAAUGCCCGGGGCUUCAACCUCGGAACUGCAUUCUGUAUACUGCCGGGCUAGAGUAUGUCAGAGGGGGGUAGAAUCCCACGUGUAGCAGGUGAAAUGCGUAGAAUGUGGAGGAAUACCGAUGGCGAAGGCAGCCCCCUGGGAUGAUACUGACGCUCAUGCACGAAAGCGUGGGGAGCAAACAGGAUUAGAUACCCUGGUAGUCCACGCCCUAA
rnacentral:rRNA from 1 species